AAACAUUUAACUUUGAUUUCAUUUGAAUUUGAAUCCGUUUUCUUUUUAAAAUGGUUUGGAAAGAAUUGGUAAUAUUCAAAAGGGAAAUUUGUUUCUUGCUUAUCUAUUACGCUGAUCUAUACUUAUUAGUUUUGGUUUGCACUACCAAUUAUCCUGUCAUGAAUUCUGUUAAAUGCAACAUGGUUUUCGGUUCGGGUUUUGGGAAGCAUGAAGCUUUGCACCUUGGAUGAAUGUUUACUGAAUUGAUGGUGGAUGAUUCUGAUUUAGAUAAAUUAGCUUAGGCUGAUCAUAAGGUAUCUAACAUUGUGUUUUUGCUGUUUAGUUCAGAAACUGUAAGGAUUCAUCUAUAAUAGCCACAGUGUCUUUAAGCUUUGUUUCCAACAUUAAGAAAAAGAGGAUAAGGAUAAAAAGAUGAUAUAAGAGGGAGUGGAGCUCACCCAGCAAGAGGCGAGGAAAUCAUCUCACAAAAGAAACAGGCACCAAUUACUUGAUGAAAUGGAGGUUGAUAAAGAUGCAUCCUGAGCGAGGGCAUCUAAAGCAAAAAAAUGGCUAGUCUUGAAUAGCGAAAAAUCUGGAACUGAGACAAAAUCCUGGUUUGAUCAAUCUCUCUUUCAAUUCCUCUUAAUAUUCUUGAUAUGGCUUUUGGAGUGUGUGAUAUCAAUGAUGAUUUGAUUCCCUUGCUUGAGUCAGAUUACCUUUUUGAUUAUAACAUGUGCGUGACUCACUUACAAGUUAUAGAAACUUCUAUCAUGCUGGAUUUCUGUCAUGUUUUUGUCAUAUUUUGGAUUCAAUAAAUGACAUAGCUUGUCCCAUUUGAUCUAUUUUUAGAUGAAUAUGCAUUGAUACUAGCAUGAUAGUUUUCAAACUCAUUAAAAUGGUUUUGUUUGUUGAAUUUAAAUGAAUUGGAAGAUGCAAUUAAAUUACUUGCCUCUUGUGUUUAAUGAAUGCCACAUGCCUCUUCUAUUGUGUUGAUUUUCCCUCAUGGGGUUUCAGCAAAACCCGUUGGAGAUUCAAGUACUUGGUGAUUAUGGUAUUCUCUUUCUUUUCUCCUCCUGUACCCCACCCGUUUGAUAAUUUGUGUCAAUGAAAGUGGGUUCUGAAAGUGAUGCUUUAUCGUGGAUUCCAUACAUAUGAGUAAACUUGCUCGUUUGUGAAGGAAAAUUUGGGAUUAGGAAAUGUGAGUUUGAAGGAGGUAUCUCAGUGUGUAUUAUGUAUUUGCUGGAUAUUCUCUGUGAGUUCAAAGGAGUUAAAUGAAGAACAAUAGUAAUUUGUGCUUUGUGUGUGGGAUAGAAUGUCUUUUAUUGCUAAAUUGUGUUGUUAACAUCAUGAUGCUUCGUAUUUACCUGAACCAUCAAGGCCUGAAAGAUCUACAUGCAUAUCAAGUCAUAAGUUUCUUCUUUCUUUAAGAUGUUUUUAUGAUUUGACACAAGUGUUAUAAUCUUAUUUAAUGUUAUCCAUGGUUCUUGUAUAAGUUUGAAUUGUUUCUCUACAAAAUAGUCGUAAGAAUAAGCAUAAAUGCAAUGAAGCUAUUGCAGUUACCCCACACUUUAUUAUUAUUGCAGCUGAGUUAUUGACUGUGACACAUGUUUUUCAAUACACGUGAGGUGGAAAGCAAACAUGUUUGUGAACAUUGAUUUAUUAGUUUCAUAUUUGCUGAAUUUUUAAAAUUAUGGUUCCAUUUAUAGUACUUGAUGUUAUUCAUGUCUGAAUGGUGUAAUUUAUGUGGAGCCAGAGGUCAUCCUUUGCAGAAGUUAACAAAUGAAGGGAAAGGUUAUUAACUUUUGAUAUUGCUCAGUUGCUCAAGUUGAUAUACCUCAUACUUUGGAAAGUUUAUUAAUUAUUAAUUGUUAGAUUAAUAUUUUCACAGUGUUACUUAUUGAUUCUUUGUUGUCUUUACUUGCAAAAAGAAAGUAGCUUUAGACUGCUUGUAAUACCAAAUGGAUGAAGGGUGCUCCUUUUUCUUGUGUCAUCUAUUAUUUAUCAGGAUUGCAUGAGUGAAAGUAUCAGUGCUGAAUAUUUUGCGCACACUGCUAGUUUAAGGGAAUGAAUGCAUGAAAUAUGAAUUUACUUAUAUUGGUUUAUAAUUAACUUACCUUUAUAUACACUACUAAGUUUGCACUUGUAGCACUCAAGCUUGUGUUAUCUUUUAAUAAAGAAGAGUUGAUACUAACAUGAUUUACUGUUUGGAAAAUUGAGUUAUGCUUUGUCCUAUUCUCUAUACAUGAAGUUAUUCUCUGUACAUGAAGUUAUUUAUCAUAACUUUGCUUGCUGUUGGAUUUUAUAGUAACUAAUGUACCUGCAUUUGAGUGCACUUAAUAACUUCUCCUAUUGAGGGACAUGACAGAUCAGGUGGAAGAAGUGGAUGAUUUGGCUUACUCUGAGGCCACAAUUUCAGAGUUAGCAUGUGUAUUAAAUGUGAAAAUGAAGGAGAGAAGAGGGAAAAAUGCUGAACAAUGUGAUUUGACAUCAUGAGUCAGGGCAGUAUCAUCUUUAUUAUGCUUCCAUACAUGCAGUCUGUGCUAGAUAUAUUUAGCAUUCAAGUGUCUUUGAUGUUAGGCCUUAUAUUAUUUUAGCAGCUUGAAGUUCUGACUAGUAAUGCAUAUGGCAGCAAGUGGGAAUGUUCUAUAUUCUUAAUUCUUUUUUAGGCAUAACCACUCUUUGAUAACAUGCUUAUUCGAAUUGAACAUUGCAUAAAAUUUGGCAUGAUUAGUUGCAAUUGAGCAUCAUUUGAAUUGUUGAAAAGCACACACAAUUCUAAGUGAUAUUAACAUCAUUUUCUCUAUUAAUCAACUUUAAAAAUGAUAUUGCUUUAUGCUUAGAUUUUGUUUUCUGAAUUCAAAGUUUCAUAAACUCUUUCAUAUUUUACAUCAUAUGAAUCAUAAAAUUAAUCUGCAAAUGCUCUCCAUGAUGUGAAAGUUUAAAAUCUAUAAGUCAGUUCACUCAUAUUUAUUGAAGCUAUUAUUCACUAGAAAGCUUUAGAAGCAUUCAUUUUUUGGGAGUCCUUGAAGUCUCUUGAGGUCUCUUUCUUAUCUCUUUCACAUGUUAUAAAAAAGAAAAACUUCCUCUUAUGCACUUUAUCAUACACCUGCAGUAAAAUCUGCUUAUUUGUCCAUGCUUUCACACUUGCUGUUAGGCAAAGAUAUUAAAUAUUUUCAUUAUGAGGAAUAUGGAAGAUUACUACAGAAAUUUACUUAAUAAGAGAACCUUACAUUUGCUUUUGUGCAGAAUUUUGAACUGAUGUUACUCUUUUAUUCUGUGCUUUUACAAAGUGACACUUGAAUCUUACAUGCUUAUUCAAUGGACAGCUGGGGACGAAAAAUGAGACUUUUUAUAAUUGAAAGACCAAACUGCGAUUGAUUUAAUUUACUAGAAAAUAUAUUGUGAUGUCUGAUAUAAGAUCCUGAAAUAUAUUUAAGCAUGUUCGUUGACUUAUGGGAAAAUUGAUCUUAAAAUUCAUAUUGCCUUUCUCUAUGCAAACAGGGUAACUUACCUUAUGAGGUAUGCUGAUUUUAAUAGUUUAAGUGAAGAGUAACAUCUGGAACUGAUAAUCAGUUCAUAAACAUGGGGCAUGUGCUCCUCAAUCUUUCUCCAUUAUUUUCUUACUAAUUGCUUAGUGGUGUUUUGAGUUAUCGCUAAGUUAUGCACUACUUUCAACAUGUUAAGAAUCAUAAAUGUGUGAUACAGGUGAUGAUUUAUAGAUCUUUGUUCAAUCGUCACACUAAUCUUCCUUUUUGGCAUAGAAGUUUCUUAUCCACUGCUUUGUAGCUCUAGACCCUUGGCUGGACUCCUGCAGGAGCUUUAUGAAGGACAAGCUUGAGGAAAGUAAAUAUAAAAAACCAGCAUAACAACUAAAAACGGGAACUGAGACUGCAAGACAAUUUUCAAAAAAGAGGGAUAAGAAGAGUGGUUUGAUUAAUCUGAAAGUAAGGUUAUAGAGAAUGGUGUUGUUGUAGCUCCAUUAUUGUGUAACAGUCUCUUUAUUAUGCUUGUUAUGGAUUGGAACUUAGAGAAGAGAAUAAGUGGUUGACAAAGUGGUUAAGUCUUUACACUUUAUGUAUGAAGUUCAAAUGAUCAUGUAUCUUUUCUCAAACUAAUUAGUGGAAUGUGGAAAGCAUGUGGCUUCAAUCUUUUUAUAAAAUGCUGGUGAGCUCCAUCUCUUGCAAUGUACAUUAUGUUGAUAUGAUAGAAGUAAAUGUUGGAAAUAACUAAUUUGGCAUGCUGAGUUUGCAUAUCUAAUUAGCUGACUUUGAUUUUUUGUUCUAAAGAUUAUUCAUGAUGCUUAUCUUCAAAUGUGAUUACCAAGAAUUAGCAUGUUUUGGGAAGAUCAAUUCAAUGGCAUGCUAUCACUUUAAUGACAUAUUCUAAAUUUCCCUCAUACCAAAUAUCAUGUAAUAUCAAAGAGAAGUUGUUGAGCUCGCCUAUAGCAUGUUGUUGACGAGCAAUGUGAGAUGGGCGGGCUAAGUAACAUGUUGAUAAGCAAGUAGGUUGAGGAAAAGGAAAGGAAGAUGCAAUUGAGGCAUCCCUUCCUGUUACAACAAGUUGUAACAUGAUAUAUCAACAACAACAAAAGGAGCAAAGAAAAAAGAAAGAAAAAGAAAAAGAAGAAGAAGAAAACAAGAAAAUUGCAGUUAUCUCGGGUCGCCCAUGGGCGGGUGUUGAUUCUGUUUGUUUCCAAACUAUAGUGCACAAUGACAAAAUGUCAAAGGUACAAGCUACCACGUGUAAGCCUUUCGCAAUAAGAAAGCGUCGACACUGAGCAUACACAGCCUUGGCAAUUCUAGUGGCCACUAGAAACCAAGCCCCGUCUGUAAAAGGACUAAGGCCAGUAAAAUGUGCCUAAGCCUCGAAUUUAAAUCGAGCAAAUGAAUGUAAAGCCUCACCAUGGCGAGCCAAGUCUCGGUAAAUUUAGCACUAAAAAAAAAAGAAUAGAGAAGUUGGCAAAGGGUUUGAGUCUCUUGUUGCAGGUGAUCCUCAAAUGAAAUAAUGCGGGCAAAAGACACGCCCAAUUUCCAAAGAAGGGAUGUACUCAUUCGAAAGGAGGCGACCUAUAAGAAAGGGAAGUCGAUGUAAAAGAAAGCAUGGUUUGGCAUCUUCUAUACUUUCACAUUUUUGCAUUUUCUGGAAUGACUGAAAUAUGGUUAAGUGCUUAAAAGAAUUGUUGCUUAGUUCAAGGUGACAAGAUUAAAGAAUAUAAUUAUUCACAUUUGAUUGUUUAACUAUUUAUUUGAUAUGUAAUUUCCAAUAUACAAGUUUUCUUGUUCAUAUAAGAUGGAUGAGAGAGAAAGAGCAACGCCCAAAGCGUUCAAAAUUCUAUGAUUCGCCAUAAAGAGGCGAUUAAGCAUGAUGAUUAUAAUUGUUGGAAAAGCUAAUCAUUAUUUUCAAGUUGACACAUGUGAAAGACAGGUAAUAGGUCACACAAAGCGUGACGAUCUACUUUAGAGAGGUGAGCAUGAUUUGAUUGGCGAGCUUCAUGGCAAGUUUUGAGGGACAACAUGCAAUCAUGGGGAGGCGAGACAGUAAAGACACUUUGCCUUCAUACUUCAGACGCAGUGUCUUGUCGGCUUGUGGGCUGGUCAGAUACUUCCCAAACUCGAUUUCACCAUCUGGCGGACCACCUCCUCAGGCGUGGACGGUUCGGUGACGCUUAUGAUUAUUAGUCACCCCUUUGGUCGGGUUGUAAUUUAUUAUGCCACUGUUGGCACUUAAUUAUAUAAGUUUCCCCUUGCGGCGGGUUGUAUGUUUAUGACGCCAUGUUGGCGACCUAUAUGCUUUAUAGUGAUUUAUAUACUUUAUAGAGGGCGAUCUUUAUUGCCCAAGUCGAGAUUAGAGCAAUGUAGCCUGGAAGGCUAGUUGUGGGGGGACAUCCUGGGGUGUUGGCCGUAACCGCCAAUCGAAGGGUUAUCUCUAUAACAAGUCAUCCAUGGGCGACAUAUGUUCAUUAAGACUUGAGACAAUUAAGACACUUUCCCAUCAUACUUCGGGCGCGUGUCUUGUGGGCUUGUAGACUGGGCGGGACCUGCUCAUGAUAGGAUCCGCCCAGAGUUAGACCUUGGCGCGACUAUAGGACGGCUAGGCGAGACCUCCAUAGGGCGACCAACUCUAUGGGCCGAGGAUUUUUGAGGCCCAAUGGCCCAACUAGUAUAACAUUAGGAUAUUGGACCAUCCCACUAUAAAAGGGGAGGUCAUUCAUUGUAAAAAGGAUCUUCUUUAAUAUAUUACAUUCUUAUCUUCUCCUA